CUUCUUUUCUUCUUCUUCUUCAUUCUGCAUUCUUCUUUUUUAUUCUCUUUCCUUUUUCCCCUGUUUUUGUUCUUCUGCGAGUGAUUGAGAGUCCAAUCGGGAGGUUUGUGAUCGGUAGGAGGUUUAGAAGAUCAUGAAAUAUUUGAUAGUGAUGAUGUUGUUGUCUGUUGUUGAUUCAAACUCGAAGGAGAAAGUAAAUUAAAAGUUAAGAGUUUCUGAAGUUAGGGUUCGUGAAGAAUUGAUGUUCUGAAGACUUAGAAGAUGAAAUUAGAGUGCCGGUGAAUAAUUAUAGAUGAGUAUGACAUGAAAUAGGGGAUACAGUGGAAGAAUCAUUAGAAUCUGAAGUUAGGGUUUUUGAAAAGAUGAACUGAAUUAGGGUUCUUGAGUUGGUUGAGGGAUUGUGUGAAAUUGAAGAUGAACUAAAGGUUCAGAAGUCUAAUUGAAGAUGGGUUUAUUCUUAAUUGAUGUUUGAUUGAAGUUCCAGGGAUAUUUGAGAAUUAUUUAGGGUUUCUUUGUUAAUCAGGGGUGGUGGUAGAUUCAAAUGAUCUGCCGAAUCGAGUCAGGAGCAAAGAAGGAUUCAAUUCAAUUGUGGAGUGAAACUUUAUUGAGGUAAUUGUUCUUCUCUGAAAUCUUAGUAAGUUCUGAAGUUCAUUUGUUGGAUUUUUAAUUUUCAAUGAAGUAAGAUUUGAGAACGAAUAUGGUGGGUAUGUAAUUGAGCUGUAGUCAUUGUUUUGUGUGAUAUGAACCUAAAAAAAAGAUGUUGAGUUGUUGUUGUUUUGGAUUAUUGGAAUUGAACCUAUAGAACUGGUUUUGAAUAUAAGUUAAUGAAUUAGGGGAAAGUUUAAGAAGAUGGUCGUAUUAUUAUUAGUGGUAUUGAACAAAUGGUGUUGAUAGUGAAAGGAUGGAUGAGUUAGAGGUAUAAUUAAGAAUGAUGUGUACUGAGAAAGUUUAAGACGAGGAUGAUGCCAUGGUGUUGAUGAUGACUGAGUUAUGGUGAUGUUCCUUAACUGGUAGUAUUGGUUGAGAUAUAGGAUGUACUUGGUUGAGAUGUCUUAAGUGAUACUGAAGAGAACUGGCUUGAAAGAUGGGUUUGGUAAUGAAUGUAUAUGAGUAUUAUACAACUGGUGUUGCAAGUAGUGAACACAUGACAUGAAGGAGAUUGUGGUUGUGGUGAUAUGAGCUGAGUAGAAGAGGUGGAGUUAUUAUGUUGCAGGUGCAAGUAAAGUGCAAAUGGAAUCUUAGUGUUAUGGUAUAACUAAGUUAGUAACAUUGUGGGGUGAGUGAAACUUGGAUUGAGUCUCAAGAGCUAAGAGUGCAAGGAUGUGAAGUUAGAGGUGGUGUUGGUACAAAGAUGGGAUGCAUGUGAAGUUAUUAAUGGGAUUAGGUCAAGAAGAAGGCUAGAAAGGUGAUUUACAGUUGUAGGAUUAUAGUUAAGCAAUUGAUGUGAAAGCUUGCAACCUCUGCUGUUGCAGUUAGUCUGUAUUAACAACGAUCUAUUCAAAGGAUGAACCAGUGGAUCGUGGAUCUCGAGGUAGGCGUGGCUUGUCAUCAAAAGAGUUUCAGAGACAAAUCAAGUUGUGCACGUGGUGAUGAAAUCUUUGAGGAGUUGGUUAGCUUCCGCUAUGUUUAUUUUGUGUUUAUAUUCUAUUUGUAAAUCAACUCACUAUUAAAUAUGUAACACUUGAGAGGAGUUCUUGUAUUUAUUUCAGAGAGGGUUUAGAUUCGGGUUAAUCUUUGUUUAGAACUUCUUUCUUAAUGUUUAAAUAGAUGUUUUAGAUC